rnacentral:rRNA from 1 species
AUUGAACGCUGGCGGCAGGCCUAACACAUGCAAGUCGAGCGGCAGCGACAACAUUGAAUCUUCGGAGGAUUUGUUGGGCGGCGAGCGGCGGACGGGUGAGUAAUGGCUGGGAACCUGCCCGAUAGAGGGGGAUAACAGUUGGAAACGACUGCUAAUACCGCAUGAUGUCUACGGACCAAAGAGGGGGACCUUCGGGCCUCUCGCGUCAAGAUAUGCCUAGGUGGGAUUAGCUAGUUGGUGAGGCAAUGGCUCACCAAGGCGACGAUCCCUAGCUGGUCUGAGAGGAUGAUCAGCCACACUGGAACUGAGACACGGUCCAGACUCCUACGGGAGGCAGCAGUGGGGAAUAUUGCACAAUGGGCGCAAGCCUGAUGCAGCCAUGCCGCGUGUUGAA